rnacentral:rRNA from 1 species
AUAAGGUUAAGUGAAUAAGGGCGCACGGUGGAUGCCUUGGCACUAGGAGCCGAUGAAGGACGGGACUAACACCGAUAUGCUUCGGGGAGCUGUAAGUAAGCUUUGAUCCGGAGAUUUCCGAAUGGGGGAACCCAGCAUCUUUUAUAGGAUGUUACUUUUCAGUGAAUACAUAGCUGAUUAGAGGUAGACGCAGAGAACUGAAACAUCUAAGUACCUGCAGGAAGAGAAAGAAAAAUCGAUUCCCUGAGUAGCGGCGAGCGAAACGGGAAAAGCCCAAACCAAGAGGCUUGCCUCUUGGGGUUGUAGGACUCCGAUA